UUCUUUUUUGGAUGCAGCUGUAGGAGCUUUCUCUGCUUCACAUAUUUGGACGGAAUCAUACUUUCUAAAUAUUCCCAAUGGUGAUCUUGAUAAAUUUGAUUUGGAAUUUGUUGAUGACGAAGAUGCUGAAGAGAUAUCCAUUCCAGUUGUUCUUGAUCAUGAAACUAGACAGAGAAUUAGUCAACCAUGGACCAAGUAUAUCAUCGUCAGAGUAAUGGGAAAAACAAUCGCUUACUGGUAUAUGCAGGAUCGCAUACUCCAGAUGUGGAAACCCAUCGAUAAAAUUCAAAUCUUGGAUCUUGGUACUAAAUAAAGCUUGGAUGAAUUGAGAAGCCAAGAGAGCAGGAAAUUGGUAGCCAGAGGCGUAAAGGUUGUGAGAAGUGUAUAAGAAAUAUCGUGCAAAAAUAUGCUUGCACUCAUUUCACAAGCCGCUUGCAAGAGAUACAUUAGUAGUGGGCUUGAGAUAUUAUCUUUGAAGAAGAUAUGGGCUUGGUAGAGAACCCAAAACUCAAACCUGUUUUCCGAACCCGAGAUAUCAAACCUGAUAACCCGUUCAACAUCCAAAAGCUGCUCAACAUCCAACGUCAUCUCUACACGGUAUUUUUGGGAAAUAAACAUUUUUGGAAAAUUCGGAUCGAAAAGUUGAUCGGGGCACCCACCCGAAAAAGUACUAAAGGCACCUCAUUUUGGAUAAGGGCCACCCCAGCUGUUAAAGGCACCCCUGUUUUGAAUCGGGGAACUCCAUCUUCCACCUUUUGAAUUAUCAAAUAUGGCGGGAAACUUAAGCAGUCACCUGUGUAACUUUUGAUUCGAGUUUUGGGACAGUUCGGAGGAGAUUCAAUCACGGAUUUUGUUUGGUUUGGUCUUAUUAAGACUGAACAGGGUUAGUAAGUCCAACAAAAUCAAUCAAAUAGGGCCAGUUCAUCGAGCUUGGCUUAACAAGGGAAGAACGUAUUCUGCGUGAAUUCUUGGGAAGAAUUAAGACGAGUUUAGCUGGAGGUUUACACGGGAUUGGACUCAUAUCAACCUGUUUAACCAUAAAAGGAUUGGUAAGAGCUUUAAAUUCGAUUGAACGAGAAGAUUUCACAUAAUCUCGACUAAACAGGGCAAGCACAUAAUCUCGGGAAACUUCUGAGUUAGUUUGGGAAGGUUUGUGCGUGUUUAUGCGUGCUAAACUUCUUAUGGAGUGUGUCUAAGGCUGUUGGGAGUGUAUAGAAUACACGCAGACGCGUGCAGCAGAUAAAAACGGAAUAUUAUUCCUGUGUCUCUCUGAGAAAGGAAAGAAGAUCACCGAGGAGUUAUUGUUGUGAUUCGAAGGGCCUGUUGAGUAUAAAUGAGUUACUAUGGUGUCAGAGAAGGGGAUGGAGAGUUAGGAGACGGAAGAGGGUGAGAAAUCAGAGUUGCAGAGCUUGUCUCUGCUGCUGCCAUUGAAGGAGAGAACGAAGAGCAUAAGACGCCCAGGAGCAGUCGUUUUGCUACAGUGACAGCGACAAUUAAUAGUUAUCGUUCUCUGUAACAAUUGAGUUUGUAACAAAUAUAAGUAUUACAACCCGGUUUUUAUUAUUUUUCUCUCAUUUCAUUAUU